rnacentral:rRNA from 1 species
AUUGAACGCUGGCGGCAGGCCUAACACAUGCAAGUCGAACGGUAGCACAGAGAGCUUGCUCUCGGGUGACGAGUGGCGGACGGGUGAGUAAUGUCUGGGAAACUGCCCGAUGGAGGGGGAUAACUACUGGAAACGGUAGCUAAUACCGCAUAACGUCGCAAGACCAAAGUGGGGGACCUUCGGGCCUCACACCAGCGGAUGUGCCCAGAUGGGAUUAGCUAGUAGGUGGGGUAAUGGCUCACCUAGGCGACGAUCCCUAGCUGGUCUGAGAGGAUGACCAGCCACACUGGAACUGAGACACGGUCCAGACUCCUACGGGAGGCAGCAGUGGGGAAUAUUGCACAAUGGGCGCAAGCCUGAUGCAGCCAUGCCGCGUGUAUGAAGAAGGCCUUCGGGUUGUAAAGUACUUUCAGCGGGGAGGAAGGCGGUGAAGUUAAUAGCUUCACCGAUUGACGUUACCCGCAGAAGAAGCACCGGCUACUCCGUGCCAGCCGCCGCGGUAA